GUGAGGAAUAUUGGACAAUGGGCGCAAGCCUGAUCCAGCCAUGCCGCGUGCAGGAAGACGCAUCUAUGGUGUGUAAACUGCUUUUGUACGGGAAGAAACACUCCCUCGUGAGGGAGCUUGACGGUACCGUAAGAAUAAGGAUCGGCUAACUCCGUGCCAGCAGCCGCGGUAAUACGGAGGAUCCAAGCGUUAUCCGGAAUCAUUGGGUGUAAAGGGUCCGUAGGCGGUUUAAUAAGUCAGUGGUGAAAGCCCAUCGCUCAACGAUGGAACGGCCAUUGAUACUGUUAGACUUUAAUUACAAGGAAGUAACUAGAAUAUGUAGUGUAGCGGUGAAAUGCUUAUAUAUUACAUGGAAUACCAAUUGCGAAGGCAGGUUACUACUUGUGGAUUGACGCUGAUGGACGAAAGCGUGGGGAGCGAACAGGAUUAGAAACCCCGGUAGUCC
rnacentral:rRNA from 1 species